rnacentral:rRNA from 1 species
UGAGCAAAACCAAGCGGCGGACGGGUGAGUAACGCGUGGGUAACCUGCCCUAUACACAUGGAUAACAUACUGAAAAGUUUACUAAUACAUGAUAAUAUAUAUUUGCGGCAUCGUAGAUAUAUCAAAGUGUUAGCGGUAUAGGGUGGACCCGCGUCUGAUUAGCUAGUUGGUGAGAUAACUGCCCACCAAGGCGACGAUCAGUAGCCGACCUGAGAGGGUGAUCGGCCACAUUGGAACUGGGACACGGUCCAAACUCCUACGGGAGGCAGCAGUGGGGAAUAUUGCACAAUGGGCGAAAGCCUGAUGCAGCAACGCCGCGUGAACGAUGAAGGUCUUCGGAUCGUAAAGUUCUGUUGCAGGGGAAGAUAAUGACGGUACCCUGUGAGGAAGCCCCGGCUAACUACGUGCCAGCAGCCGCGGUAAUACGUAGGGGGCUAGCGUUAUCCGGAUUUACUGGGCGUAAAGGGUGCGUAGGUGGUCCUUCAAGUCGGUGGUUAAAGGCUACGGCUCAACCGUAGUAAGCCGCCGAAACUGGAGGACUUGAGUGCAGGAGAGGAAAGUGGAAUUCCCAGUGUAGUCGGUGAAAUGCGUAGAUAUUGGGAGGAACACCAGUAGCGAAGGCGGCUUUCUGGACUGCAACUGACACUGAGGCACGAAAGCGU